AAGUCGUAACAAGGUUUCCGUAGGUGAACCUGCGGAAGGAUCAUUAACACAAGUAAAAAAACAUUUUUACAACACCCUAUUAUGAAUUUAAAUUUUUUAAUUUUAAUUUUUUUAUAAAACUACAAAAAAAAUAUUUAAUUUAUUUGACUAACAUUUUUUUAAUUAAUUUAUUUAAAAUUUUAUAAAACAACUCUUAACAACGGAUAUCUUGGCUCUC
rnacentral:misc_RNA from 1 species